rnacentral:lncRNA from 1 species
UAGAUUGUAGGGGUUGAGAUAGAGUUGAUGUCAAAUAUUAUUUUGGUGAUAUGGAAUAGAACAUUUAAGGUUUCUAUGUUGUAAGAACAUGCUUACAUGCGGGCCAGAUAUGCAGUGGUCGAUGUCAUCUCUUUUUCAUUUGUUACCGAUAAUUUAUACCAACAAAAAGAUUAACCGGAUCAAUUGAAGCUUAAAUGUUAUUUUUCCAAUAAUGUCAAAAUCAUAGCUAUUCACUUAAUUUCUUUUAAGAUUUUAGUCAUUUGGCAAAUUAUCCCAUAAAAGAAUGAAUUUAUGUCGAGUUCAAUAAUUUUUUGGAGCUU